rnacentral:rRNA from 1 species
GUGGAAUAUAGCAUAUAGUCGACAAGAGAAAUCUACGAAAAAACAAACAAAACUUUCAACAACGGAUCUCUUGGUUCUCGCAUCGAUGAAGAGCGCAGCGAAAUGCGAUACCUAGUGUGAAUUGCAGCCAUCGUGAAUCAUCGAGUUCUUGAACGCACAUUGCGCCCCUCGGCAUUCCGGGGGGCAUGCCUGUUUGAGCGUCGUUUCCAUCUUGCGCGUGCGCAGAGUUGGGGGAGCGGAGCGGACGACGUGUAAAGAGCGUCGGAGCUGCGACUCGCCUGAAAGGGAGCGAAGCUGGCCGAGCGAACUAGACUUUUUUUCAGGGACGCUUGGCGGCCGAGAGCGAGUGUUGCGAGACAACAAAAAGCUCGACCUCAAAUCAGGUAGGAAUACCCGCUGAACUUAAGCAUAUCAAUAAGCGGAG